rnacentral:rRNA from 1 species
UACGUAGGGUGCGAGCGUUGUCCGGAAUUAUUGGGCGUAAAGAGCUUGUAGGCGGUUUGUCGCGUCUUCUGUGAAAAUCCGGGGCUCAACCCCGGACUUGCAGUGGGUACGGGCAGACUAGAGUGUGGUAGGGGAGACUGGAAUUCCUGGUGUAGCGGUGGAAUGCGCAGAUAUCAGGAGGAACACCGGUGGCGAAGGCGGGUCUCUGGGCAGUAACUGACGCUGAGGAGCGAAAGCGUGGGGAGCGAACAGG